UCCUCUUUUUCCUUUUUCUUAUUUUUCUCUUCUUUUUCUGCCUGCAUCUGGGUUCGCCCUGGCAAACCAAACCAGAAGAUUUGGAAAAGGAGGGAAACGUAUCUCCCCUUAAAUAACUUCAAUUCCUCCUGCGGUUUUAAACUUAGGUGGGCAAGAAUUAAUUUUGUUAUGUAAAGUUGACUCUUAAUAGAUUAAAAAGUAAAUGCACAUAUUUUUCUUCACAGGUGCUGUUCCAAUGAGCAAGAAUAUCCAGGAACUAAGUUUCUCUCAGAAAGGUGGAGAUGUGCAGAAGAAGCUGCAUGGAGUGAGUUGAAAUUUGGGACAGCUUCUUAAAUUUAGACCAGUGAUCUGUGUGAGGAAAUCCAUUUAAGUCUGAUUGGCAGAGCAAACUGAUGGAAAUGCAACUGGAAAGAGAUGCACUUCAGGAUAGCAGGUAUGAGGGCUGAGACAGAUAUACCAUGGAGGGUGUCUGUAUGAGCUUUCAGAGGCACAGCAGCAUUCCUCAGGGAAAAGCUUCCCUCCUGGAAUAACACUACAGCACUCUGGGGUUAGAAAACAACUCAUUAUUUAGCUGUAAAAACCAGCAGUUAAUCAACUGAAGUAUUACAUCUGUGAGGGUAAAACUCCAGGUGAAUCCUGUUCUCUAAUUUUAUUUUACUUCUGUUUCCAAAUUCAGACAAAAGGAGUCUCAGAGCCA